UCCCUCAUUUGCCUUGUACUGAUAGAACAGGGAAGAUAAUGCCUCUCUCAACCAUGGCUAGUGGGUGAGUACUGAAUAGUCCUGAUUUCUUGCCUUCUGAAGCAGUUUUUAGUGUUAGCUACCAUGAAAAAGUAUAGGACAGGACUCCAAAUCAUCCAGGAAAUUAUAGGAGGGCUUGGUAGAAUAGAUGGACUAAAUCACAGCUCCUGUUGCAUUACAUUCCACCUAGUUAGCUUUGAAAAAAUAUGCUCUUAAAAUAGGCUUUUAUUUAGGGAAAAAUUAUUUCUACCAGUCAACCACAAACUCAUCAGCACCUUCAGCAUUUCCCCACCAUGAGAGAGCAGGUAGAAGGGUGGAGUGGGUGCUGUGACCCAGGCAGACUGUGUGAAUUCCCUGAUUUCAGAUGAUGCUCUCCACUCCUACAUCAGUUCCUGUAGCCAGUGACUGCUUGCAUGUCAUCAGUGCUUAGAGGAGGCUGGGGAAGGGGUGAAGUGUGCAAGGCCAAAGCAGAGGCAAAAUUUAGAGAUCUCCACUUAUACUAUACCAUGCAAUUCUGCAAGAGCUGAUAGCUUAAAAAAUGGUGAGCUCGAUGUUUUUGUUCAUCUCUGGAAUAGCAAAGAGCGUGUACAAUAUCUAUUUGGUUUUGUUUUAGGCUGAGUGUACAACAUAGUCAACUUUUGAAAACCCCACUGCUUUCAGUAAUUUUACCCCUCCUAUUUCCUAUACAACACACAUUGGGUCAUUAAAUCAAUUUAGCUUUUAAUUUUUAACUUUCUCCCCACCAAUAUUUGGUUUACUGCUUGUUACAAUAGGUAAACAAAGAGACUGUGUGGUGCUGCAUGUUCCCAGAGUUUCUCUUCUGCAGCAGUGCUCCCAGCAGGAUUUGACAGGGGGGAGCAAGGCUGUCAGAGCAGCGCUGAGCGGCCACCACUCACCCACCCAUGAAUGCCAAAUCCAUAUCCCCACAGACUGCCAUCCUCAUUUCAGCUGGUUUUCCCCUGUCCCAACCUGAGACAAAGGCAAUUUCCAUCCUCAGCUCUCCUUUAACCCCUCAGAAAGCCUGGCAGGUGUGUUUAUUGCAGGAGCAGGCACACAAACAGUCGAGCAGUGUUUCACCACCAGCUUUCCUUUGUACUGCAGAACCUUUUCACUGGGUACUCCGGUUUUGCAGCUCCUGCCAGCAGGGAACUGUGCUUGUGCCAGUGCCAUUUAAGUGGGAUAUUUCAUUAAGAGAUCAGCAGCAGGCACAUGGAAAUGACAGCGAUCAUUAAGUCCGCAUUACUCUGUUUGCACUGGGGAGCAGUGGAGGCCCCAGGCACAGCAGGGCUGCAGGCACAGGGGCAGCCAGCCCUCUGUAAAUCCCUGCAGAUUGCCUGGGACACACCGAGUGCCUUCAGCAUGGGGCAGCCAGGCUCUGCUAUCUGUCCUGGAGGCUGAGAUGCUGCAAUAAUGAAUACGACAGAAGAGAAUAAGGAGAUACCAGGUGAAUUUGCCCCUGGCAGUGGUGUGUGGUUGAUUCACACCAUUUCUGAGCCCUGAGCAGAGGUGCUUUUCAUUACACAAAUCCCUGCAGCGUGAUUAGUUUGCCUAAUACAUGCCCUGCUUUUUCUCAGGGCAGGAUACAAAUCCUGGUGCUCGCAUUGGUUGGCAGCAUCAAGGAGGCAGUGGGAUUUGUGUGACCACCGUGAGAUGGAUUCUCUGUCACUGCAGAGGGUUUCACACCUCACUCCUGGCACUGCCCAGGGCAGAGUCUGCUCUCCACGGUGUUCUGUGAAACGGGUCUGAGUCACCAAGUGGCGUUAGUGAAGGGAAAAUGAAAAGGGAGAAUCUUGAAAUCACUGUGGAGAAAAGGAUGGGCGUCAGGAAGGAGAUGAAUGCACGGGGGACAGAGAAAGAAAGAAUUAUUGAAACAUUAUGGAGAAACAUAAUCUGGAAAAACUAUCCAUGGCACAAAACAAAGGUGCUCUCAGGAGGGAAAGUGUGAGUAAAUGGCCAUAGUGUUGGAUGUCACAUCCACAUUCAAAUCCAAAUUAUCCCUGUUUUUUCAGCUUGGUUAAACAAACCAAGGUAAAGACACACCUUUAUGACAGCGCACCUACUGAUAAUUCCUUUUCUGUUUGGUAAUAAAUACAACCUGUCCUGUGGUUCACCCAUCACUUGUUUGGCCAUACAGGGAAGGAGUGAGUCUCCUCCAUGUAACAGUCAGCUCUGAGCACCAGGACAAGGGAGCAGUGAUGCAGGUGAGAUUUACAGUGCAGUCAAUAUGACAUUUGUUUGUUUUCUCAACACAUUCCUUUAUCUCACUAGUAAUGCACAAGUGCUUUUUCUAAACUGUAGAGAAUCAUGGACAAGUUUUAUGAUUUAAUGCAGCUGGUAAGAGUUCACUUAAAACACAAUGGAUGGUCUGUUACACUAGGCAUGAGAUUAAAGUCCUUAUGACUGGGAAUUUGCACACAUUCAAAUCUUUAUUUCACAAGGAAAACCACCGGAGAUAGGUAUUUAAAUCAGCAUAUCUCUGGUACAGUGAGUUAUUGCUAUAGCCUCUCUGAGGUUCUGCCCAGAUAAAUUUCAAACUGGCCAAACCAUUUGGAUUUGAAAAGUUUAUACUUGACCUUUGCACAGACAAAGUCCCAAUUGUAUUAAAAUGAAUUUGAUCAAGCGAAUGAUUUGUGGCUUUCUGUUCUGAGCAUGAGAAAACUUCCUUGUGUUGGGGAGAUAGCGACCCUGGCCAAGAACAGCAACUUCUGCUGGAGAACCUUGAGCUUCCUUCUGGUGUGGAUCUGUGGAUGGUGCUGGGUGCAGUGAGGUUUGUUAGGGCGGCUGCUGCAGGGAAUUGUCACAGUCACCUACACUGCACAGAGAGAUUCUCCACAUCCUGUUCACUCCUCAACACACUACAGAUACCAGCCAGGGUAACUGUGCCACCCUUGAAUGCACUUAUGCUGAAAAUGGGCUUGAUUUAUAAGUGCUUUUAUUUACAUCUGCUGGUUUCACACUUACGCUGAGGUGUAAAGGGUUUUUUCUGAAUGCUGCUAAGAAUGGUGCUGGUACCUCUUGAAUGCAGUGUCAUUAAUGCCCUUAUCUGUAAUAUCUCCUCAUGGAAGUGGGAAAUCAUACCCAGAAUUUUUUCUGGACUUCCUCUUUAGUGGUAUGUUUGGUGAAAAAUAUUCGCCCCUGUUGUGGACUGUCUAUGUAUCUUAAAAAAAAAAACCAAAAAAAAAAAGGUUUGUAUCCCCGCAGUGGAUUGAACAAUCUCAUCUUCGUGAUGUGCUCAGGGUUUCUGUUGCUGAGACUGUCACCUGCUGGCCACGAAGAAGCUCGCCAGGAUCUCGGGAAAAACCUCAGAAGCUGAUAGAUUAAAUUCUCAGGUUUGCCUUUAGAAAUUACACAUUGAGCUGUUCCUGCUUUAUCUAACUCUAAACAGGAUGGUAAUUCUAUAAGUGGAGGUAGACCAGGAAAGCUUCCUCAUUUAUAAAACUUUUAAAUUUCAUGCAGUUUUAAUGCAAAGGAAACUGAGUUCUAAUCACAGUGAACAUGUGGGGUAAAAUGCUGGUUCCAGUCAAUUUAACUGAGCUUAACUAUGGCAAACUAAGCCACAACCAAUAAGCAGGGGAAAGGGGAAAAAAAAAAGAAACUAAAGGCUGGUUAUCCUGCCUCUGGCAGAUUUCUGUCACAUUAAGCCAUGGAUACAAGAUGACCUUAGGAAAGGGUCACAUCUUUGUACUGACCAGCAGAGCUCAACAGAAAUCAAAGGACCUUUACUGAGGCUCUACACUAGAGCUUUUGCAGGAAAGGAAAAGAAUUGCUCUGAAAAGCUCUUUCAGCCCUGCCCUUGUCCUGCCCUUCCAUCUGUUGUCACUGAUAGCUCAUUUUCUGCCAGUCUUUGGGCCAGAAUCUCAGCUGGUGUAAAUCUGAGCAAGUCUGAAUUCACAGCUGGAAUGAGGGUUUGCAGGGUGGUUUAUUCUCCUCAUUUUGAAAGUGCUCCCCUGUUCCCCCCAGAUCUGAGAGCAGGUUACUACAGUGCCUGGAAUGCAUUGUUCAGUUGUGAUUUUUCUGUUUCAGACACAGAAAUGAGAUCUGAGCUGUACAACAGGUGCUGAACUGCACCUCUUAUUCCAGUGGAGCAACACCCUCUAGAGUUCUUCCCAAAAAUCUGUUUUUUUCUUAUGUAAUUGAGCUGUGUUACCAGCAUCCUGCAGGAUUGCUGAUAGGAAGGAAAGCUGGUGCCAUAGAGGCUGUUUCAUUACAAUUAUCCUCAGCUCACUUGGUCUUACACAGGGUAUUGCUGCCUGAAAGCACAUCUAAAGUAACCCUCAAGUUCAGUGCUGCAUGUCGUACUGAAACUUUAAGAAGAGAUUUUUUUAUGGAUGUUUUUCCAUAAGCCUCUUAGUUCACAUCUGUAAAAGAUGGAUUUCAUGCACUUUAAAGAUAUUUUUUGACUCUGGAGUCAAUCCCUGGAAGUGAAUUUAUGCAAAGUGGCCAUAUUUUUAUUUCUUAUUAGAAAUUAUUUUUUCGGUGGGGUUUUUUUUUGGUUGCUUGCUUUUUGGGUUUAUAAUUUCCUUUUAUUUCCCUUCCCUCUGUUCUUGUGCUUGGAUACUUACAAACUUUAUUGUUGCUAGAGAACACGGGUGCCUGGAUGUCUGUCUCAUGAAAGCAAGUGGCUGCUUAAAAAAGAAAACCAGAGAGAUUAGAGACCGCGUGAAAUUCCACUAAAUUCAGGGAAAAGCAUAACUUCAAAGGAUUUAGGAUCAGAUUUCAAAUGCAUAUCAUGAGAGACUUUUGAAACUGGUGGAUUAAUACAGGGUGCUGAGUCUCAGUCUCCACCCCUGUGCAGGACAGAUAAUGCCAUUUACCUGCCCCAGAGCUGCCUCCCUUCUCCCUUCUCCCUUCUCGUGUGCUGCUGGAAAGAGCAAGGCUCUUCAAGGCCAGUCUGUGUCAAGAGAAUUAGAAGAGCUCUGGCUCACAACCAGGUAAGCCCUGGAGCCAGCUCUCAAACACCAACAGGGAGAACCCACAGCCUCUCCAUCUCCAUUGAGAAUAAACGAGGCUUUUCCUGAAAUGCUCUUUUCAAAUCUGUGAAUGCUAAACUAGAAAAAAUCCCCGUGGCUUCCUUCUCUGCUUCCCGCCCACACUCCUCAGCGAGUGAUUUCCUGGGAGCUGCUGGGAUCUCUGCUCAGGCAGGGGAUGGUUGGGCACCUCUGCUGCUCUCAGUCCUGUACAGGCUUGGGACUGUGGGCUCUGCAGGGCCAUCACAGCCUCUGCAGCCCCAUCCAUCACUUUAUUGAUCACAUGGAGAUAGAUUCCCUUUAAAACUUCUCUUUUGCUGGUAGAUUUACUUUGCACCGAGACUUAAGUGUGAGUUAAUAUUCUUUUUGAGGGGAGAUAAAGGGCAGUGGAGAUCCUAGCCUAAAGAAUGUAGCCUGUGAAUUUUAUCCCUGCACUGCACAUACAUUUUGAUGGUCUUUGCUGUGUGUUUUAUUGAGGCUGAGUCAUAAGCAAAUCUUAGUGCUUUGGAAGGAAGGAAAUGGAGUUUGGGCAAGAACACGACACGUCACAAAUGGAUCCAGCAAAGGCACUGCUCAAGCUGUGAGAGCACAGUGACGUAUCUCAGCAAAAGGAGAACUGAAGGUCAAGAGUCCCUGUGCUGCAUUACAGUUUUCAUCACCUGAAGCCUGUCUGGACUCGGUGAUGUUUGAGAUGAGCCAAUCCUGCUCAUGUGCCUUCCCUCAGAAACAGUCCCAUAGUUAACAGGCACUGUUUCUGUCUUGUAUUUCAGUCCUGGGAUGGUGAACAUCUGCCCAAGGCUUGGGGCUGAAACAGUUGCUGGGGCUGGGUCAAGGCACAGAAUUUUUGACUGAGGUUGUUGAGGAAGGAGAGUGGAGCUCUUGUGCCAUGGAGGCAGGAGGUUUCCUUGGCAGCUGCCCUUAGGAAUGCUGCCUUUGCCUGGGGAGGAGAGGGGAGCCACACCAGCUGGCUGGGCAGCUUGGGAGAAGGUUUCCUGGGGAGACUCAGCCAUGGCUUGCAGCACAGCAUCCAGCCUGUCUCACGGAGAUCGGGGCACUGCAGAGGCGUGGGCAGAGCAGCCAGGCUCGGGGCUCCCCAGGGAUCCACUUGGACAGGCACAGCUGGCUGCAGCUCAAACGCCACUGACUCGCAGCCAAGCCUUCAGACAGGGUGAUGCCUAGCUUUGAGGUCAGAAGCCUUUUGAUCUUCUUCAUGGAGCUCACCAUGAGGGAGACACUUAGGUGUACCUAAUUCAAAGAUCUGCACCUUUCACCCCCUCUCCUUGGUGCAGGAUGCCGCUGCUGUCACACUUUGAGAGGCAAUGAAAGGCCAGAAACACACAUUUGUCAGGAUGCUUUUAUAGGAGCCACUGCCCUGCUGACAAGGGGCAGCCCAAGUGUGCUCCCUCCUGCCUCUUGGGCAGGACUUUGGGCCCUUCCUCUGCCUCCCUGGAGCUAUGGAAGGGCAGGUUGUCCUUGCUGCAGCCAGCUGGAAAACUGGAGAGUCUGAGGCCUGCAAUGAGACAGCAGCUCUUGAAGGGGCACUCAGUGCCACCAGAUACAGCCAGACCAGUGGGGCUAUGGAUUAAAUUAUCAUUAGCAAAGCUACCUAGCAAACACAGCUGCAGAAAUGUGGCCCUUUUCCUCCCCCUCCGUUUGGCCAGCUGAUGUUCCUCCUACAUGAUACAGAAGGAUUUUAUUUUACUCAGGUUCAGGCUGCAAAUCUGGCUGAUAUUGGAAGGGGCUUUGGGGGACAUUUGAUAUUUCUGAGGCCACGAGGGUCAUGUUCUUCCAGGCUCCUUCUGGUUUCUGCUCUUUCUUAGGAUUAAUAUUGCAGUAGGGAAGAAUAAAAGGCUCUUUCCAUCUCCAGGAUCUAAAAUGAAGGAACUGAGCAGACAGAAAAUGACAAAUUUCAUUUUAGAAAUAUUAAUGGUUGAAUUUAAUGAACUCUUGGCCUUAAGGAAUGAUAUCCAAGAGGUGCUACCCAGGCAGGAAGUCUGUGUUUGAAUGGGAUGUGUGCACACAGACUGUCUCUGCAGCAUCCCUGGAAGGGCAGCAUUUGUUGGCUGUGCACCCCAGCCCUGGAGUGCUCCCAGCUGGCAGGCAGGACCAGGGACUGUGCCCUGGGGCAGGAGCUGGGCUGCCACAGCCAGGGUUUGAAGCCUGAAAGUGCAUUUAAGGUGUUUGAUUUUGCAAACAUGGAUGCAAGCAGCACUGUGUUUGUUAGCAAGUCCCUCAGGUGUCAUGGCUCUGUGAAUAUUUCCCAGCUCUGACCUGGCCAGUGGAGAGGUCCCACUCCUGGGGGUGUGAGAGCUCCAGCUCCCUGCAGACACUGCUCCAGGUGCUACACACAGAGAUGGACCCACAUAAUAUUUAUACUUUCCUAAUCUGGCAGCUUAAUUUGUACACCCAUGUGGAAAAAAAAGAGAACAACAACUGGGUUGAAUCAUUGUUUUGUUUGUAUUUGGGAGAGAAUUCGCUUGCCUGUUGUUUGCCAUUGCAUCCUCAGAAGAUGGAGGCCCCUGGCCAGCAGGAUGAAGCGUGGCUUUGUUUUGCUGUUUACAGUGGCUGGAAAGCACGAUGGUGAAGAGUGAAAAAGCAUGCAAAUAACUUGUUUAUUCCCAGAGAUGGGUACUUUGUGCUGUCACGAGCUGUGCUGUUGACUCAACCCAGCUUUACUUUCCUGGAACUGGGGGAGCUGACAAAGCUUGCUGAGGAAGACUCCUAAGCCAGAGGGUUUUUGGUUUCACAACAACUCCAUGAAGCAUCCCAGUGUUUUGCUCUAUGGCAUUGAUUACAGGAGAAAGGAAAGAAAGGUGGGAAAUAAAGACAUUAAAAUGAAAUUUCCAAGUGCAGAUUUAAAAUCCCACAGGAAAAGUUAAGAGCAGGGUUGAGUAAACAGGGGGGAUGUAUGGGGUAAAUAGUGAGGCUGGUGACUGACCACAAAAGAUGGAUUGGUUAUUAAAACAUCAUUUGUUGCUCAAUCUGAAUAAACUUUUUAAUGCUGAACCAGAUUUUUAAAAAUUGGGGUGAAUUUAACAUUUUUACCCAAACUGCUGCUAAGCACAGCACUGAAACCAUCAGGCUGCCUCCCACCUAGAGCAUCCUCCUGUGCUGGUCCCUGGGUCUGCAGGGUUACCCCUGGCAUCUGUCACUGGCAGCCCAGUGCCAUCCCAGCAAAAAUAGAAGCAUAUUUAUGUCAAUGCUCAUGUCCUUGCUGUGUGUUUGUGCAGAGCAUGAUGAACUCUGUAUUGGACCACAGCUGCCAGAUCCCAGUUCCUGACUUUGACACCUGGGAAUGUGGGUGGCUGGCUCAGAAGUAAACUUGUGUUUGUUCAGCAAGGUCCUUGUGCCUCAAGAAGAAAUGGGUGAACAACUCGUUGUUUGAAGCUAAAUGAGCCAAAUUUCUCUCAUAUGAACAAUUCUAUGCAAUUUUUUUCUGUAAUUCUGGCAAGGCAUUUGCUCUGUGUUAUGGUCCUACCUACCACUGCAGCUCAGGACAUGCAGCCUUCAUGCAUUUAUUCCUAUGACAGUCCUGUGCAUUUGGGAGCAGAGAUGUGGAGGAACUGUGGGAAGCCAGGAGGAGGAAAACAGGCUUUAGUUUGUGUAGUGUUUGUGUGCACUGCAUUGUGCUUCCCUAUCCCUGCUCAUUUGCUCAUUUGCUCUGCUCUGAGACUGAGCAUGAUUGAAUUAUAUCUUUGGGAAAAUGCAAA